rnacentral:rRNA from 1 species
UACGUAGGGUGCAAGCGUUUGUCCGGAAUUAUUGGGCGUAAAGAGCUCGUAGGCGGUUUGUCGCGUCUGCUGUGAAAACCCGAGGCUCAACCUCGGGCCUGCAGUGGGUACGGGCAGACUAGAGUGCGGUAGGGGAGAUUGGAAUUCCUGGUGUAGCGGUGGAAUGCGCAGAUAUCAGGAGGAACACCAAUGGCGAAGGCAGAUCUCUGGGCCGUAACUGACGCUGAGGAGCGAAAGCGUGGGGAGCAAACAGGAUUAGACUACGUAGUCAGUCCAAGUCCAG